UGGAUCCAGACUUUGAUUCUGGCUCAGGAUGAACGCUAGCUACAGGCUUAACACAUGCAAGUCGAGGGGAAACGACAUCGAAAGCUUGCUUUUGAUGGGCGUCGACCGGCGCACGGGUGAGUAACGCGUAUCCAACCUGCCCACCACUUGGGGAUAACCUUGCGAAAGUAAGACUAAUACCCAAUGACGUCUCCAGAAGACAUCUGAAGGAGAUUAAAGAUUUAUCGGUGAUGGAUGGGGAUGCGUCUGAUUAGCUUGUUGGCGGGGUAACGGCCCACCAAGGCUACGAUCAGUAGGGGUUCUGAGAGGAAGGUCCCCCACAUUGGAACUGAGACACGGUCCAAACUCCUACGGGAGGCAGCAGUGAGGAGUAUUGGUCAAUGGACGAGAGUCUGAACCAGCCAAGUAGCGUGCAGGAUGACGGCCCUAUGGGUUGUAAACUGCUUUUAUAAGGGAAUAAAGUGAGUCUCGUGAGGCUUUUUGCAUGUACCUUAUGAAUAAGGACCGGCUAAUUCCGUGCCAGCAGCCGCGGUAAUACGGAAGGUCCGGGCGUUAUCCGGAUUUAUUGGGUUUAAAGGGAGCGUAGGCCGGAGGUUAAGCGUGUUGUGAAAUGUAGACGCUCAACGUCUGCACUGCAGCGCGAACUGGUUUCCUUGAAUACGCACAAAGUGGGCGGAAUUCGUGGUGUAGCGGUGAAAUGCUUAGAUAUCACGAAGAACUCCGAUUGCGAAGGCAGCUCACUGGAGCGCAACUGACGCUGAAGCUCGAAAGUGCGGGUAUCGAACAGGAUUAGAUACCCUGGUAGUCCGCACGGUAAACGAUGGAUGCCCGCUGUUGGUGUGAAUAGGUCAGCGGCCAAGCGAAAGCAUUAAGCAUCCCACCUGGGGAGUACGCCGGCAACGGUGCAACUCAAAUGAAUUGA
rnacentral:rRNA from 1 species